rnacentral:rRNA from 1 species
GUACCUGGUGGCGAGCGGCGGACGGGUGAGUAAUGCCUAGGAAUCUGCCUGGUAGUGGGGGAUAACGCUCGGAAACGGACGCUAAUACCGCAUACGUCCUACGGGAGAAAGCAGGGGACCUUCGGGCCUUGCGCUAUCAGAUGAGCCUAGGUCGGAUUAGCUAGUUGGUGAGGUAAUGGCUCACCAAGGCGACGAUCCGUAACUGGUCUGAGAGGAUGAUCAGUCACACUGGAACUGAGACACGGUCCAGACUCCUACGGGAGGCAGCAGU